rnacentral:rRNA from 1 species
ACACGACUACAUUAGAUACCCGUGUAGUCCUAGCCGUAAACGAUACUCGCUAGGUGUCGGCCACGGUGCGACCGUUGUCGGUGCCGUAGGGAAGCCGUGAAGCGAGCCACCUGGGAAGUACGGCCGCAAGGCUGAAACUUAAAGGAAUUGGCGGGGGAGCACCACAACGGGUGGAGCUUGCGGUUUAAUUGGAUUCAACGCCGGAAAUCUUACCGGGACCGACAGCAACAUGAAGGCCAGGCUGAAGACUCUGCCGGAUUAGCUG